AGAGACAGCAGUAGCCGCGGUAAUACGUAGGUGGCAAGCGUUGUCCGGAAUUAUUGGGCGUAAAGCGCGCGCAGGCGGAUUGGUCAGUCUGUCUUAAAAGUUCGGGGCUUAACCCCGUGAUGGGAUGGAAACUGCCAAUCUAGAGUAUCGGAGAGGAAAGUGGAAUUCCUAGUGUAGCGGUGAAAUGCGUAGAUAUUAGGAAGAACACCAGUGGCGAAGGCGACUUUCUGGACGAAAACUGACGCUGAGGCGCGAAAGCCAGGGGAGCGAACGGGAUUAGAUACCCCUGUAGUCCCUGUCUCUUAUACA
rnacentral:rRNA from 1 species